GACGAACGCUGGCGGCGUGCUUAACACAUGCAAGUCGUACGAUGACCCGGCUCUUCGGAGCUGGUGAUUAGUGGCGAACGGGUGAGUAACACGUGGGUGACCUGCCCUGCACUCUGGGAUAAGCCCGGGAAACUGGGUCUAAUACUGGAUACGACCAGUGGCCGCAUGGUCUGCUGGUGGAAAGCCCUUCGGGGUGGUGUGGGAUGGGCCCGCGGCCUAUCAGCUUGUUGGUGGGGUGAUGGCCUACCAAGGCGACGACGGGUAGCCGGCCUGAGAGGGUGUCCGGCCACACUGGGACUGAGACACGGCCCAGACUCCUACGGGAGGCAGCAGUGGGGAAUCUUGCGCAAUGGGCGAAAGCCUGAUGCAGCGACGCCGCGUGAGGGAUGACGGCCUUCGGGUUGUAAACCUCUUUCGGCAGGGAACAAGCCUGGGGGUUUUCUUCUGGGUGAGGGUACCUGCGGAAGAAGCACCGGCUAACUACGUG
rnacentral:rRNA from 1 species